AGUCGAGCGGUAACAGAUCUAGCUUGCUAGAUGCUGACGAGCGGCGGACGGGUGAGUAAUGCAUAGGAAUCUACCCGAUAGUGGGGGAUAACCUGGGGAAACCCAGGCUAAUACCGCAUACGUCCUACGGGAGAAAGGGGGCUUCGGCUCCCGCUAUUGGAUGAGCCUAUGUCGGAUUAGCUAGUUGGUGAGGUAAAGGCUCACCAAGGCGACGAUCCGUAGCUGGUCUGAGAGGAUGAUCAGCCACAUCGGGACUGAGACACGGCCCGAACUCCUACGGGAGGCAGCAGUGGGGAAUAUUGGACAAUGGGGGCAACCCUGAUCCAGCCAUGCCGCGUGUGUGAAGAAGGCCCUCGGGUUGUAAAGCACUUUCAGCGAGGAAGAACGCCUGUCGGUUAAUACCCGGCAGGAAAGACAUCACUCGCAGAAGAAGCACCGGCUAACUCCGUGCCAGCAGCCGCGGUAAUACGGAGGGUGCAAGCGUUAAUCGGAAUUACUGGGCGUAAAGCGCGCGUAGGUGGCUUGAUAAGCCGGUUGUGAAAGCCCCGGGCUCAACCUGGGAACGGCAUCCGGAACUGUCAGGCUAGAGUGCAGGAGAGGAAGGUAGAAUUCCCGGUGUAGCGGUGAAAUGCGUAGAGAUCGGGAGGAAUACCAGUGGCGAAGGCGGCCUUCUGGACUGACACUGACACUGAGGUGCGAAAGCGUGGGUAGCAAACAGGAUUAGAUACCCUGGUAGUCCACGCCGUAAACGAUGUCGACCAGCCGUUGGGUGCCUAGAGC
rnacentral:rRNA from 1 species